GGUGCUUGCACCAAAUGAAACUAGAUACAAGCGAGCGGCGGACGGGUGAGUAACACGUGGGUAACCUGCCCAAGAGACUGGGAUAACACCUGGAAACAGAUGCUAAUACCGGAUAACAACACUAGACGCAUGUCUAGAGUUUAAAAGAUGGUUCUGCUAUCACUCUUGGAUGGACCUGCGGUGCAUUAGCUAGUUGGUAAGGUAACGGCUUACCAAGGCAAUGAUGCAUAGCCGAGUUGAGAGACUGAUCGGCCACAUUGGGACUGAGACACGGCCCAAACUCCUACGGGAGGCAGCAGUAGGGAAUCUUCCACAAUGGACGCAAGUCUGAUGGAGCAACGCCGCGUGAGUGAAGAAGGGUUUCGGCUCGUAAAGCUCUGUUGGUAGUGAAGAAAGAUAGAGGUAGUAACUGGCCUUUAUUUGACGGUAAUUACUUAGAAAGUCACGGCUAACUACGUGCCAGCAGCCGCGGUAAUACGUAGGUGGCAAGCGUUGUCCGGAUUUAUUGGGCGUAAAGCGAGUGCAGGCGGUUCAAUAAGUCUGAUGUGAAAGCCUUCGGCUCAACCGGAGAAUUGCAUCAGAAACUGUUGAACUUGAGUGCAGAAGAGGAGAGUGGAACUCCAUGUGUAGCGGUGGAAUGCGUAGAUAUAUGGAAGAACACCAGUGGCGAAGGCGGCUCUCUGGUCUGCAACUGACGCUGAGGCUCGAAAGCAUGGGUAGCGAACAGGAUUAGAUACCCUGGUAGUCCAUGCCGUAAACGAUGAGUGCUAAGUGUUGGGAGGUUUCCGCCUCUCAGUGCUGCAGCUAACGCA
rnacentral:rRNA from 1 species